UGGGGAAUAUUGGACAAUGGGGGCAACCCUGAUCCAGCCAUGCCGCGUGAGUGAUGAAGGCCUUAGGGUUGUAAAGCUCUUUCGUCAGGGAAGAUAAUGACGGUACCUGAAGAAGAAGCCCCGGCUAACUUCGUGCCAGCAGCCGCGGUAAUACGAAGGGGGCUAGCGUUGUUCGGAAUUACUGGGCGUAAAGCGCACGUAGGCGGACAUUUAAGUCAGGGGUGAAAUCCCGGGGCUCAACCCUGGAACUGCCUUUGAUACUGGGUGUCUUGAGUACGAGAGAGGUGAGUGGAAUUCCGAGUGUAGAGGUGAAAUUCGUAGAUAUUCGGAAGAACACCAGUGGCGAAGGCGGCUCACUGGCUCGUAACUGACGCUGAGGUGCGAAAGCGUGGGGAGCAA
rnacentral:rRNA from 1 species